GAGCCCUACCUAGCCCAACCACACCCCCAGUCAAUAGAUCAAAAACACUUCCCCACUAAACUAAAACAUUCUUAUGACCUAGUAUUGGCGAUAGAAAAGACUCCUUGGCGCAAUAGAGAACACGUACCGUAAGGGAAAGUUGAAAUAACAAUGAAAAACCAAGCAUCAAACAGCAAAGAUAAGCCCUUGUACCUCUUGCAUCAUGAUUUAGCAAGAACAACCAAGCAAAGUGAACUUAAGCUUGCCACCCCGAAACCCAAGCGAGCUACUUACAAGCAGCUACUUGAGCGAACCCGUCUCUGUUGCAAAAGAGUGGGAUGACUUGUCAGUAGAGGUGAAAAGCCAAUCGAGCUGGGUGAUAGCUGGUUGCCUGUAAAACGAAUCUAAGUUCUCCCUUAACUCUCCUCCACGGACAACACACCUAACCCCUAUGUAGUGAGUUAAGAGGUACUUAAAGGAGGUACAGCUCCUUUAAAAAAGAAAACAACCUCUACUAGCGGAUACCUUUCCACACACAUACACAUGUAGGCCCCUAAGCAGCCAUCAACAUAGAGUGCGUCAAAGCUCCUUACCUAAAAGAUCUAAGAAUAACCCAACUCCCUUACCACCAACAGGCUAAUCUAUAUCAAUAGAAGAACUAAUGCUAAAAUGAGUAACCUGGAUUUCUCCUCUCAAAGCGCAAACUUACAUCCAUACAUUAUUAACAGACUUAAACUAAUACUACAAAUCUAACAAGAACCUGUAUUAAACUUCUCUGUUACCCCAACUCAGGAGCGCUAAUAUAAGAAAGAUUAAAAUCUGUAAAAGGAACUAGGCAAACCAAGGGCCCGACUGUUUACCAAAAACAUAGCCUUCAGCAAACCAAGUAAAGUAAGUAUUGAAGGUGAUGCCUGCCCANUGACAUUAUGUUCAACGGCCGCGGUAUCCUAACCGUGCGAAGGUAGCACAACCAAUUGUCUCAUAAAUCGAGACCUGUAUGAAUGGCUAAACGAGGUCCUAACUGUCUCCUACAGAUAAUCAGUGAAAUUGAUCCUCCUGUGCAAAAGCAGGAAUAGUCACAUAAGACGAGAAGACCCUGUGGAACUUAAAAAUCAACAGCCACUUCAUGCACACUAAGACCUAUUAGGUUUACUGCUCUAAACCUCUGGCCUGUAUUUUUCGGUUGGGGCAACCUUGGAGAAAAACAAACCCUCCAAAAACAAGAGCACACCUCUUAACUAAGAGCAACCCCUCAAUGUACUAACAGUAACCAGACCCAAUAUAAUUGACUAAUGAACCAAGCUACCCCAGGGAUAACAGCGCAAUCUCCUUCAAGAGCCCCUAUCGACAAGGAGGUUUACGACCUCGAUGUUGGAUCAGGACAUCCUAAUGGUGCAGACGCUAUUAAGGGUUCGUUUGUUCAACGAUUAAUAGUCCUACGUGAUCUGAGUUCAGACCGGAGUGAUCCAGGUCGGUUUCUAUCUAUGUAUUUACUCUUCCUAGUACGAAAGGACCGGAAAAGUGAGGCCAAUACCAAAAGCAUGCCUCCCCUCUAAGUAAUGAACCCAACUAAUUACGAAAGAAGGACUAACUACAACCUCAUCCUAGAAAAGGAUCG
rnacentral:rRNA from 1 species